rnacentral:lncRNA from 1 species
CCCAUCUCGUCCUCAGAGUCUAGCUCCGCUGCUCCAGGUAGGUGGUGAGGGUGGAGCUGGUUAUGCAGCUGGUGGAUCUCCUCAUGCAAGUUCUCAUUGUACUCCUCGGCAUUAGCUAGCUGCUGCUCUAGCUCUAGCUGUCGGGCCCUCAAAGUGUCCUCCUCGUGCCAGGCUUCAUUCCUCUGUCCAAGCACAUGGACUAGCAUGCGCUCGCACUUCCUGUGAGCAGUAGUCACCCUGUCCUUCUGCUCCCGUACUGC